rnacentral:rRNA from 1 species
GAGUUUGAUCCUGGCUCAGGACGAACGCUGGCGGCGUGCCUAAUGCAUGCAAGUCGCACGCAGUCGCUUCGGCGGCUGAGUGGCGCACGGCUGAGAAUCACGUGGGAACAUGCCUCCUUGUGGGGGAAACACCGCGAAAGCGGUACUAAUCCCGCAUACGCUCUUGAGAGAGAGGAAAGCGUGCAGACGCGCAGGGAGAGUGGCCCGCGGCCCAUCAGGUCGUUGGUGGGGUAAUGGCCUACCAAGGCUAUGACGGGUAGCUGGUCUGAGAGGACGACCAGUCACACUGGGACUGAGACACGGCCCAGACACCUACGGGUGGCAGCAGUCGAGAAUUUUUGACAAUGGGGGAAACCCUGAUCGAGCGACGCCGCGUGGAGGAUGAAGGUCUUCGGGUUGUAAACUCCUGUCAUUUGAGAACAAGGCGCAUGUAUUAACUGUACAUGCGUUGAUAGUAUCAGAAGAGGAAGAGACGGCUAACUCUGUGCCAGCAGCCGCGGUAAUACAGAGGUCUCAAGCGUUGUUCGGAUUCAUUGGGCGUAAAGGGUGUGUAGGUGGCGCGCUAAGUCGGGUGUGAAAUUUCGGAGCUUAACUCCGAAACUGCAUUCGAUACUGGCGUGCUUGAGGACUGGAGAGGAGACUGGAAUUUACGGUGUAGCAGUGAAAUGCGUAGAUAUCGUAAGGAAGACCAGUGGCGAAGGCGGGUCUCUGGACAGUUCCUGACACUGAGACACGAAGGCCAGGGGAGCAAACGGGAUUAGAUACCCCGGUAGUCCUGGCAGUAAACGGUGCACGUUUGGUGUGGGAGGAUUCGACCCCUUCUGCGCCGGAGCUAACGCGUUAAACGUGCCGCCUGGGGAGUACGGUCGCAAGAUUAAAACUCAAAGAAAUUGACGGGGGCCCGCACAAGCGGUGGAGUAUGUGGCUCAAUUCGAUGCAACGCGAAGAACCUUACCAGGCCUUGACAUGCAUCUCUAAACCGGUGAAAGCCGGCGAGUGUCGAAAGACACAAUUUGCACAGGUGCUGCAUGGCUGUCGUCAGCUCGUGUCGUGAGAUGUUGGGUUAAGUCCCGCAACGAGCGCAACCCCUGUGAACUGUUGCCACCGAGCCGAGAGGCUCGAGCACUCUGUUCAGACUGCCUCGCUUAAACGAGGAGGAAGGUGGGGACGACGUCAAGUCAGUAUGGCCCUUACGGCCUGGGCUGCACACGUACUACAAUGCCCAGUACAGAACGAUCCGAGACCGCGAGGUGGAGGAAAUCUAACUAAAACUGGGCCCAGUUCGGAUUGGAGGCUGCAAUUCGCCUCCAUGAAGCCGGAAUCGCUAGUAAUGGCGCAUCAGCUACGGCGCCGUGAAUACGUUCCCGGGCCUUGCACACAC